UGCAGGGGCACACUUCUUCAGAGCACGCUUGCAGCAGUCCGACCAGUCAGACUGGAAAUAUUUGUAUUUAACAUGUUUAAAAAUGUAUUUUCAUGCAUAUUUUCUAGUCAUUAUUAUGAUACAUGAUGUAAGAUUGAAACAAUAUUUCUCCUAAUAUGAUAAAGUAUAAUGGCGCGUGCUGGAGCCGUGGGACUAGGCCGCAUCUGCGUGGAAACAUGGGAGGGCAGAUAAUAAAUGGAUCCGUGCAGUGUGUUUGAGGUGAUUGCACACACACGUGGACAGAAGGGUGGUGGCAAAGACAUUGGUCUUGGUGUUGAUGGAUCCCUGCAGGAGUAACACAAAAUCAGCCUGCGGUGCUCACGAAAUGGACAAGCUACAGUAAAUUAUAAGGUGACGCUGGGAUUUGUGAAUUAACAUGUUUGUUUUUCCAUACAUACGUGACCCAGAAGACUUGAAAAUGUAUUGUUAAACAGUGAGUAUAAUGUCCUGUGUGAAUAAAGCCUUUGUCAACAAGCA